AUUGAACGCUGGCGGCGUGCCUAACACAUGCAAGUCGAACGCGAAAGUCUCUUCGGAGAUGAGUAGAGUGGCGCACGGGUGAGUAACGCGUGGAUAAUCUACCUAUUGGUACGGGACAACAGUUGGAAACGACUGCUAAUACCGUAUAAGCUGGAAACGGGAAAGGGGGCCUCUUCUUGAAAGCUCUCGCCAGUAGAUGAGUCCGCGUUUCAUUAGCUAGACGGUGGGGUAACGGCCUACCGUGGCAACGAUGAAUAGCAGGCCUGAGAGGGUGGCCUGCCACACUGGGACUGGAACACGGCCCAGACUCCUACGGGAGGCAGCAGUGGGGAAUAUUGCGCAAUGGACGAAAGUCUGACGCAGCGACGCCGCGUGGAGGAUGAAGGUUUUCGGAUCGUAAACUCCUGUCAAGAGGGAAGAAACCUAUUAAGAAUAAUACUCUUAGUAAUUGACGGUACCUCUAGAGGAAGCACCGGCUAAUUCAGUGCCAGCAGCCGCGGUAAUACUGAAGGUGCAAGCGUUAAUCGGAAUCACUGGGCGUAAAGCGCUCGUAGGUGGCUUUGUAAGUCAGAUGUGAAAGCCCACGGCUCAACCGUGGAAUUGCAUUUGAUACUGCAUCGCUAGAGUAUAGGAGAGGGAAGUGGAAUUUCUGGUGUAGGAGUGAAAUCCGUAGAGAUCAGAAGGAACACCGGUGGCGAAGGCGACUUCCUGGACUAUUACUGAC
rnacentral:rRNA from 1 species